GGAAGAACACCAGUGGCGAAGGCGAUUCUCUGGACUGUAACUGACGCUGAGGCUCGAAAGCGUGGGGAGCAAACAGGAUUAGAUACCCUGAAAUGCGUAGAGAUUAGGAAGAACACCAGUGGCGAAGGCGAUUCUCUGGACUGUAACUGACGCUGAGGCUCGAAAGCGUGGGGAGCAAACAGGAUUAGAUACCCUG
rnacentral:rRNA from 1 species